ACAGAUUCAUUCGGUUGCGGCUU
rnacentral:siRNA from 1 species